rnacentral:rRNA from 1 species
AUACGUAGGGGGCGAGCGUUGUCCGGAAUUAUUGGGCGUAAAGGGCGUGUAGACGGUCAUAUAAGUUACAGGUGAAAGCCCAUUUUUCAAGGAUGGAACUGCCUGUAAGACUGUAAGACUUGAGUGCAGGAGAGGGAAGCGGAAUUCCAAGUGUAGCGGUGAAAUGCGUAGAUAUUUGGAGGAACACCAGUGGCGAAGGCGGCUUGCUGGGCUGCAACUGACGUUGAGGCGCGAAAGCGUGGGGAGCGAACAGGAUUAGAUACCCUGGUAGUCCACGCUGUAAACGAUGGAUGCUAGGUGUGGGGGGUAUCGACCCCCUCCGUGCCGGAGUUAACGCAAUAAGCAUCCCGCCUGGGGAGUACGGCCGCAAGGUUGAAACUCAAAUGAAUUGACGGGG